AAAACCAAAUUGGAAACAUAUUGAUAAAACUCAACAUGUAUAUCUCUUAGUAAGUAACAUAAAAUAACAGGUUCAUUGAGUCAGAUUUAAUAAAUUAAGUAUAUGAGUUAGUUUAACUAAGAAACAUGCGCCAACUGAUUUAAAAGUGCUUUGAUUCACUAAAAAGAACCGGCUCAGAAUCGGACUAGUCGCCCAUGGUUUUGAUUCCCUUCAUUUCUUAUUAAUUCUUGAUUCAUUUAAAUGACUUCUGAUUCGAGUCAUUUACUCGGUAGGGGACUUACUAAAAGAAAGUAAAAGAUGUACUAGAAAGAAAAUGGUCAUUUGCUCAGGAUUCGGACUUCGUUGGGCGCGCUGUAUGUUUCUGAUUCACUGAGAAAGAACCGGCUCACAAGACUCUUUCGCUUUGGAUUCGAACAGAGAUUCGUCACUGGUCGCUCGCGUCGUGUGUUGUUGAUUCGAGAAAAAAAAAAAAAAAAAAAGAAAGAAAAAAAAAAACCUUACUAGUCAAGAAAUCCGACUUCAAUGGUCGUUCUGUAAAUGGCAGAAAUAUAUUAGUUAGCAAGUAGGCUAUGAUGGUUCAGGUUUGAAUGGUCGCGCUGUAUGAUUAAUUAAAUAAACGAGUAACAUGGAUUUCACUGGACAUGGGCAUUAGCAACUAAUAUUACUGCAGAUACGUUAAUCGGUUGAGAACCUAACUAACGAAUGACUUUCAUGACGUUAGGUUCUAGCAUGAUUUAAAAUGGAAUGAAAAUGAUUCUGAAUACUAGCAUCAUGUGCUAACCAAACCUUGAAUGCUGUCAUGUGACCACUCAGGAGAACAGGACCAAUCCAAAACACCCAUUUUGGAGCAAGUUUUGCGUUUGGUUUUUACAAACAUCAUGAUGGUUGGCUGUAAUGGUGCUGGCAUGGCUCCAGUGUGAUUUGCUCCAUAAGGCAGCAUGAGAUUCCCAUCUCUCCCAGCUCAAUGCGGCUUGCUUGAAAUCCAAGAGCAGCUGUGGAGGUAUGUUUUGGGCUGCUUCAGCGGCAUGUGCCCAACGGCGUGUGUGUUCAGGCUGGCAUUAUUCACACCUUUAGAGAACAAUGUAUAAGGGCAGAGACUCUCAGAAAACUAGAUAUAAAGCCUUAUUAUGGAUGCUGGGCUAAAUUAUUGGAAUAUGAGUAUGUGGCCAUAAAUCAUAAAAAAAAUAUAUA